rnacentral:misc_RNA from 1 species
GAUGAAGAACGUAGCGAAAUGCGAUACUUGGUGUGAAUUGCAGAAUCCCGUGAACCAUCGAGUCUUUCAACGCAAGUUGCGCCCGAAGCCAUCAGGUUGAGGGCACGUCUGCCUGGGCGUCACAUAUCGUUGCCCAAUGCCUAUUGCAGUGCAAUAGGAAUUUCUAGGGCGAAUGAUGGCUUCCCGUGAGCGUUGUUGCCUCGCGGUUGGUUGAAAAUCGAGUCCUUGGUAGGGUGUGCCAUGGUAGAUGGUGGUCGAGUUAGAACGAUACCGAUCAUGUGCAUGCUCCCCAAAAUAUGGCCUCUAUGACCCACACGCGUCUUUUGACGCUCAUGACGAGACCUCAGGUCAGGCGGGGCUACCCGCUGAAUUUAAGCAUAUCAAUAAGCGGAGGA